rfam:Myotis brandtii contig161786, whole genome shotgun sequence.
AACUACAAAGUGUCUGAGACAAACAAGGAAGGAAAAUAAUCUCCCACCUCACCCUUCCACCAGCUGAGAAGAAAAAAGUUUCCCUGGACGAGAGGAAAGCAGAGACUGGAGGAAGGGGUGUCGUACAAAGAAGGUCCCUGGCUAACAAGUCUCCAGAAAGAGAGGGGCCGCACCUGUGCAGGGA